GGUAGUGUGGCCGAGCGGUCUAAGGCGCUGGAUUUAGACUCCAGUCUCUAAGGAGGCGUGGGAGGCGUGGGUUCAAAUCCCACCACUGCCA